rnacentral:rRNA from 1 species
UUGGAGGGCAAGUCUGGUGCCAGCAGCCGCGGUAAGUCCAGCUCCAAUAGCGUAUAUUAAAGUUGUUGCAGUUAAAAAGCUCGUAGUUGAAUUUCGGGAUUGACACAUCGGUCGUGCCUUAAGGGGUAUGAACUGGUGUAGUCAAUUUCUCACCUUCUGAAGAACCGCGCUGUCCUUAAUUGGGUGACGCGGGGAACCAGGACCUUUACUUUGAAAAAAUUAGAGUGUUUAAAGCAGGCAUUUUGCUUGAAUACAUUAGCAUGGAAUAAUAAAAUAGGACGGCAUGAUUCUAUUUUGUUGGUUUCUAGGAUCACCGUAAUGAUUGAUAGGGAUAGUUGGGGGCAUUAGUAUUCAAUUGUCAGAGGUGAAAUUCUUGGAUUUAUUGAAGACUAACUACUGCGAAAGCAUUUGCCAAGGAUGUUUUCAUUAAUCAAGAACGAAAGUUAGGGGAUCGAAGACGAUCAGAUACCGUCGUAGUCUUAACCAUAAACUAUGCCGACUAGGAAUCAGACGAUGUUAAUUUUUUAAUGACUCGUUUGGCACCUUACGGGAAACCAAAGUGUUUGGGUUC